AAAAUACCCAAUGACUUUUCCUGCACAGCCGUCUGUGGCAAUGAAUUCCACAGAUUCUGGUUAAAGAAAUUCCUCCUCGUCUCCUUUCUGACGGGGAGUAAUUUUAUUCUGAGAUUGUGCAUUCUGGUCCAAGACUAUCCCACUAGUUGAAACAUUCUCUCCACAUUCACUCUAUCCAGCCUUUCACUAUUCUGUAAGUUUCAAUGAGGUCCUCCUGACGCCCCCCCUCGUUCUUCUAAACUCCAG